UUCCUGAGCCUUGUACACACCGCCCGUCAAGCCACGAAAGGGAGGGACGGCCGAAGUCGCUUCACUAAGCAGGCGCCGACGCCGGACUUCCUGAUUGGGACU
rnacentral:rRNA from 1 species